CACAUAAGCAGCCGCAGUCCAGUAUGGGAAUUUUUGUGCAGUGACAGAAAUCCUCUUGAUUAUAGAGGGAUGGCGCCAUUUUAGAUGUAUAUAUUUAAGCCAAACAGCAAAAUCCACCUGUGGUGGCCAUUUUGUUAUCCACUGAAAAUGACAUCACAGUUGCUCAAGGCUCAGGCUUCUUGCUUGUGGAGGAGUAGUUUGCAAUGACCACCAGCCUGCUUGACAGCCAAUAGCAGCAUGAUGGAAGAUUCCGGAGGAGGGCCGACGGGCAGGCAAGGCUGCGAAAAUGAACGUCAAUAUGCUGCCGAGGAAGGUCUGGGUCACUAUUGGCAGUGGUUGAACUCGUGAUGUUCUUUGGGUGACGACCAAACACGGCGGCCGAACAGUGUGGCAUCCAUGUUGACAAGGGCGGCCUUCCCCCCCCAAACCGCUUCCAUUUGGACCGCUUGCUCCUUAUUAGAGAAGAGACCCCAAGUCUUGCCCAACUAAUGAAGAUGAAUAUUCAGACGCUUCUGGAAGGCUGCCCGCUUCGUAGCUCAACU